UGAACAGGUGGGACAUCUACAGCUCCAUCAGGUGAAGCGUCUUCAGCUGUUUGGUCUCCCUUCAAAGACGUCACGCUGGAAAGCUGAGUUUUACUUUCUCAGGAGAAACGAGAAACUCAAUAGAGACUAAAAUUCCAUAUAGGAGAUGUUGGUGAAAUGCUACUUCUCCACACCAUUCCAGUCGAAGUUAUGAGUGAAGCUUAACUGUUGCCAUUGCAUGUGUGACAAAGGGGAUGAGUUGUUUGUCCAUGGGACUCAGUCAACCAGUGCAGAACCAGAAAGUUACCCACAAUGACAUCAAGACAUCGUUCACCUCUUCCAGCUGAGGAGUCUCUUGUUCUCAUCACUAAUCAUGGUGGACUGUUUCCCGUGUUAUCCGAGGGACAGACCAUUGCCUGCUCCAUCCCUGAUGACAAAGGGGCACAGAUCUCCUGGCCACGUCUUUGCUCCGGACAAGUGAAGUCAAUGGGAUUGCAUCCUGCCUCUGAUCAGCUCCAAAGGGUGACAGAUCAGAGGGAGCUCCCAUCUCCUUGCACUGUCCUCAUCUGUCUCCUAUGCUCCUGCCUGGUCUUGCUCCAUCAAGACUUGCCUCCUCAGUUAGUGACUUUUGUUGCCACUUCUGCACUGUUCUGCUGAUGUGAAUGGCACCUGAAUUUCACUGUGUUUGUCCUACUCCUCCUACUCAAACCUUCCUGUUAUGCAGCCAGUGAGACAAGAGCUGAGGGGUACUUUGCAGCAGGAGGGCUUAGUGCAUGGCUCUAAGCAUGUAACCUUGGAUGCUUUCAAGAAUACGAUGAGCUCCUGAAAACUGUCUUUUUUUCAAAAUAAUAUGGGAGGCAAUAGGGUUAGCUCUAUGGAGAGCUCUGAACGUGGAGUUUAUUUGCAUUCAAAACUCACAGUGUGGUUUACUCCAAGUACACUCAUAAGAUUUCUGAAAG
ensembl:lncRNA